AAGGAUCAUUAAAAAAUCUCUUGAUGAGCCGCAAGGCUCUGAUAUUUUGUGAAACGUGUAUAUUGUCACAAGCUCAAGAGGGGAAGGUGUAGUAGUAGAGAUCUUAUGGAUUUCUUCGAGAGACUUGCCUCUUAUUAGGCUGUGAUGGUAUAAAUAUAUUAAUACAUAUGAUUUUGAUGUUGAGGAAGUAUUAUAUCAAUUAUAUAAUAUGUGUACAACUUUCAACAGUGGAUCUCUCGGCUCUU
rnacentral:misc_RNA from 1 species